AAGGGGGAGACAUUGGCUCUAAACUUAAGAAGAUUCUGCAACAGAAUUUCAACAUUCAACAUUGAAAAUAAUAAAUCUGACAUCAUUGGGAGACGAACAGCAGUUCUUGAUGGCCUUCCACUCCUCCUUGGAGAAGACCCCACUGAUUUUUACAAGACAUGUAUUGACUAUGAUGAUGAAGGCAAUUCAAGCGGCAUAUUGACAUUGAACCCUAAGGACUGUGAAACCAUACCUAACUCGCUGAACCUUGACGCCACAUCCACUGCCAUCUUUUUGGAAGGUACAAGUCUAAUGGAAGAAAUCUUACCCAAGCCAUGUGCCUCCUUUUUGGGCUCUUUAAUGCUCUGAAUUUAGUGUACCCUCCAGUAAUGAAGAACAACUUUGAUUUCAUCCAGGCGGUGAUUUUGUCACUCGGGCACAAGUCUCUGAAACUUAAAAUACUAUCUCUGAAACAUAUUCUAAUGCAGUAACGUCACUUUUCUCCAAUUCUACAUUUAACGUUUUGUGAAGAAGUUACAUUGAUCUUUUGUCUUUCCAGAGUGCAAUACAGUAUGUGCAUUUAUUUCAGAAUUGUUGACUGAUGUCAGAAGGACUUGAAUGAACAUUUUUGUUAAUGUUUUAUAGAAAUAAAUGACUUUGUUGUUGUGCCAACGAUCUGUUGUCUGUCUUUGUAUUAACAACUUAGAGGUUUGAGUACAACUUGCUUGAGAAAGUUAAGGUAAUCAGUUUCCACACGUUUUUCUAGUAAUUUCAACUAGUAGACAUGUUGAAAUAACUCUUUUAUUUAAGUUCUCUGUGUUAAGCUUAACUUAAAUCUGUAAGUUAGCUGAACUUGUUUUACUGAGUUUCCUUUACUCAAGUUUUCAGGUAAUUUUGGCAAAUACAGAAGUUAACUAUACAAAG